rnacentral:rRNA from 1 species
CAGCAGCCGCGGUAAUACGUAGGGCGCAAGCGUUAUCCGGAAUUAUUGGGCGUAAAGAGCUCGUAGGCGGUUUGUCGCGUCUGCCGUGAAAGUCCGGGGCUCAACCCCGGAUCUGCGGUGGGUACGGGCAGACUAGAGUGAUGUAGGGGAGACUGGAAUUCCUGGUGUAGCGGUGAAAUGCGCAGAUAUCAGGAGGAACACCGAUGGCGAAGGCAGGUCUCUGGGCAUUAACUGACGCUGAGGAGCGAAAGCAUGGGGAGCGAACAGGAUUAGAUACCCCCGUAGUCCCUGUCUCUUAUAC